UGCGCAGGCGGCCAAGUGUGUGAGGCGUGAAAGCCUGGAGCUCAACUCCAGAAUUGCACCUCAAACUACAUGGCUAGAGCAUUGGAGAGGGUAGCAGAAUUCACGGUGUAGCAGUGAAAUGCGUAGAUAUCGUGAGGAAUACCAGAGGCGAAGGCGGCUACCUGGACAAUUGCUGACGCUCAGGCACGAAAGCGUGGGGAGCAAAAGGGAUUAGAUACCCCUGUAGUCCACGCCCUAAACGGUGCACACUAGGUCUUGGAGGAUUCGACCCCUUCAGGGCCCAAGCUAACGCGUUAAGUGUGCCGCCUGAGGACUACGGCCGCAAGGCUAAA
rnacentral:rRNA from 1 species